rnacentral:lncRNA from 1 species
CAGUGUGUCCCCAAGAAAGUGUCAGAGCCUUUACGUGGACCUUCUCAUGAAAAAGGAAACAGAAUAGUCAAUGGAAAAGGAAAAGGGCCUCCUGCAAAACAUCCUUCCUUGAAGCCUAGCACUGAAGUGGAAGAUCCUGCUGUGAAAGGAGCAGUACAAAGAAAGUAUGUACAGACAUUGAGAGCAGAACAAACCUUACCAGUGGCUUUAGAGGAAGAGCAAGAAAGGUGUGAAAGAAGUGAAAAGAAGCAAUCACAGCUAAUUUUAAAACAUGCACUCUGACAGAAAAGACAUCUGAGAAACAAAACAAGCAAAUUUGUUUUCCAUUUUGCACCUG